GGUUAAGCGACUAAGCGUACACGGUGGAUGCCCUGGCAGUCAGAGGCGAUGAAGGACGUGCUAAUCUGCGAUAAGCGUCGGUAAGGUGAUAUGAACCGUUAUAACCGGCGAUUUCCGAAUGGGGAAACCCAGUGUGUUUCGACACACUAUCAUUAACUGAAUCCAUAGGUUAAUGAGGCGAACCGGGGGAACUGAAACAUCUAAGUACCCCGAGGAAAAGAAAUCAACCGAGAUUCCCCCAGUAGCGGCGAGCGAACGGGGAGCAGCCCAGAGCCUGAAUCAGUGUGUGUGUUAGUGGAAGCGUCUGGAAAGGCGCGCGAUACAGGGUGACAGCCCCGUACACAAAAAUGCACAUGCUGUGAGCUCGAUGAGUAGGGCGGGACACGUGGUAUCCUGUCUGAAUAUGGGGGGACCAUCCUCCAAGGCUAAAUACUCCUGACUGACCGAUAGUGAACCAGUACCGUGAGGGAAAGGCGAAAAGAACCCCGGCGAGGGGAGUGAAAAAGAACCUGAAACCGUGUACGUACAAGCAGUGGGAGCCUCUUUAUGGGGUGACUGCGUACCUUUUGUAUAAUGGGUCAGCGACUUAUAUUCUGUAGCAAGGUUAACCGAAUAGGGGAGCCGAAGG
rnacentral:rRNA from 1 species